GAUGAAGAACGUAGCGAAAUGCGAUAAGUAAUGUGAAUUGCAGAAUUCAGUGAAUCAUCGAAUCUUUGAACGCACAUUGCGCCCGCCAGUAUUCUGGCGGGCAUGCCUGUUCGAGCGUCAUUACAACCCUCAGGCCCCCGGGCCUGGCGUUGGGGAUCGGCGGAAGCCCCCUGCGGGCACAACGCCGUCCCCCAAAUACAGUAGCGGUCCCGCCGCAGCUUCCAUUGCGUAGUAGCUAACACCUCGCAACUGGAGAGCGGCGCGGCCACGCCGUAAAACACCCAACUUCUGAAUGUUGACCUCGAAUCAGGUAGGAAUACCCGCUGAACUUAAGCAUAUCAAUAAGGGAGGA
rnacentral:misc_RNA from 1 species